rnacentral:lncRNA from 1 species
GUUUUCCAUUCACAGACUCUUUAUGAAAGAACUACAUUAAAAUGUACAUCAGUGAACAGGAAAAAUGAACCAAAGAGAAAGGAUUCAAGAAGCACUAAGUAAGCAAUGAACAACCUGAAAACAACAUUAAGAAACAAUUCCAUUUAUACUGGCAUCAAAAAGAAUAAACCACUUAGGGAGUUCCCUUCCUGGCUCAGCAGUUAAUGAACCCAACUAGGAUCCAUGAGGAUGCAGGUUAGAUCCUUGGCCUUGCUCAGUGGUUUAAGAAUCUGGCGUUGCUGUGAGCUGUGGUGUAGGUCAGUGGCUGCAGCCCCAAUUAAACCCCUAGCCUGGGAACUUUCAUAUGCAGUGGGUGCAGCCAAAAAAAAAAAAAGAGAGAGAGAGAGAAAGAAGAAGAAUAAACCACUUAGGAAUAAAUUUUUAAAGAGUACAAAAAAGUGUAAAAGUUGUACUCUGAAAAAUAUAUAACAUUUUUAAAGGAAAGUCCUAAAUAAAUGGAAAGACAUCUUAUGUUUAUGGAUUGAAAGAUUUAUAAUUGUUAAGAUGACAAUAUUUCCAUAGUCAUCUAUAGAUUCAUUGCAAUACCUAUCAAAACACCAGCUAGCUUUUUGUGCAAAAAUUGAGAAAAUGGUACUAAAAUUCAUAUGUAAGUCCAAGGGAUCCAGAAUAGCAAUCUCAAACAAGAAGAAUAAAGUUGGAGGACUCAUACUCUCAGAUUUCAAAACUUAUUACAUAGUUACAGGAAUAAACACGGUGUGAUCCUGGAUUAAGAUUAGACAUUGAAGGAAUUCCCACUGUUGCACAGUGGGUUAAGGAUCCAGCAUUGUCUCUGAGGUGGCACAGUUUGUUUGAUCUCUGGACUGAAGCAGUGGGUUAAAGGAUCUGGUGUUGCCUCAUCUGUGGCAUAGAUUGCAGCUGAGGCUCGGAUUUGAUUCCUGGCCUGGGAACUUCUAAAUGCCACAGGUGCAGCCAAAAAAGAAAGAAAGAAAGAAAAAAAAAAAAGAAUAAAUAUGUAGAUCAAUGGCAAAGAGUCCAAAAAUAAACCCUAAAUUUAUAGUCAACUGAUUUCUGACAAGGAUACCAGACAUUUAAUGGGGAAAGAAUAAUCUUUUUCAACAAACAGUACUUGGAUAACUGGUUAGCUACCUGCAAAAGAAAGAAGCUGGACCUCUUCCUUACUCGAUACAUAAAAAUUUAAUUCAAAAUUAUCAUAGGAGUUCCCGUUGUGGCUUAGCAGUAACAAACCUGUCUAGUAUCCAUGAGGAUGCAGGUUUGAUCCCUGGCCUCACUCAGUGGGUUAAGGAUCUGGCAUUGCUGUGAGCUGUGUGUAGGUCACAGACGUGGCUUGGACCCCAUGUUGCUGUGGCUGUGGUGUAGGCUGGCAGCUGCAGCUUUGAUUUGACCCCUAGCUUAGGAACUUCCAUAUGCUGUGGUGUGGCCCUAAAAAAGACAAAAAACAAACAAAUAAACAAAACCACAAAAUUAUCAUAGACCUAAAUGUAAGAGCUAAAACUAUAAAAUUCUUAGAAGAAACAUAGGGAUAAAUCUUCAUGACCUUCUUAGACGUAAUAACAACAAAAGCAACAAAAGAAAAAUAUAUAAAUUGGGUUAUCCAAAUUAAAAACUUUUGGGCUUCAAAGAAUACUAUCAAGAAAUUGAAAAGACAACCCACAGAAUAGGAAAAAAUAUUGUAAAUCAUAGAUAAGAGAUUUAUAUCUAUAUUACAUGAAGAAUUCUCACAACUCAAUGAUAAUAGCCCAGUUUUAAAAUGGACUAAGGAUCUGAAUCUCCAAAAGAAAAAUACAAACAGCCAAAAAUAUAUUGAGCUGCUUAACAUUAGGGAAAUGUAAAUCAAAACCAUGGGAUACCACUUGAAAACAUGAUGUUAAAUCAAAGAUGCCAGUCACAAAGGACCAUAUACUAUAUAAUGCCAUUUCAAUGACUGUCAAGAAUAGGCAAAUCUAGGGAUGCAGAAAGCAGAUUAGUGAUGGCUUAGGGCUUGGAGGGUUGGAAGAAAAUGAGAUGUGACUGCUCAUGGGUAUGAGGUUUCUUUUGGAAGUCAUGAAAGUGUUCCACAGUUGAUUCUGCUGGUUGUCGUGCAACUCUGUGAAUGCACUAAAAACCCCUGAGAUGUAAACUUUAAGUGGGUGAAUAAUCUCUCAGUAAAGGUGUUUUAAAAAGAAACAACAGAGAGUAAAAAAAAAACAAAAAAAACAAAAAAAAAAACUUGAUAGGUAUAUAAUAUGUGAGGAGAGGAAGAAAGAGAUGAAACAUCCUAAGGUCAAUAUUUUGUUUGAAAGGAAAGUGAGGUGUAUUGACUGACCUACAUGAUUGUUUACCGGUAUGCUUGCUAAAUUUAAAAGUAAAUAGGAAUAAAAUAUACAAACAGUUUAUACUACUUAAUAACAAAAAAAAACCUCCAAACAAUCCAAAUGAAAAAUGGGCAGAAGAUCUAAAUAGAUUUUUCUCCAAAGGAGACAUGCAGAUGGUCAACAGGCACAGGAAAAAAUGCUAAACAUCACAAAUUGUUAGAGAAAUGCAAACCAAAACCACAAUGAGGUACCACCUCACACCAGUCAGAAUGGCUACCAUUAAAAAGUCUACAAAUAACAAAUGCUAGAGAAGGUGUGGAGAAAAGGGAACCUUCCUACAGUGUUGGUGGGAAUGUAAAUUGGUACAACUCCACUACGGAGAACAGUAUGGAGUUUCCUUAAAAAACUAAAAAUAGAGUCACUAUAUCAUCUAGCAAUCUCACUCCUGGGCAUACAUCCAGAGAAAAGUCUAAUUCAGAAAGAUACAUGCACCCCUAUGUUCACAGCAGCACAGUUUACAAUAGCCAAUACAUGGAAACAACAUAAGUAUUCAUUGACAAAUGAAUAGAUAAAGAAGAUGUGAGUGUGUGUGUGUAUACACAUGUGAUGUGUAUAUAUAUAUGAUGCGGUAUUGCUCAGCCAUAAUAAAGAAUGAAAAAAAUGCCAUCUGCAGCAACAUAGAGAUUAUCAUAUUAGGCAAAGUAAGAGAGAAAGACAAAUACUAUAUAAUAUCACUUAUAUGUGGAAUCUUAAAAAAAGUACAAAUGAACUUAUUUAUAAAACAGAAACAGGAGUUCCCGUUGUGGUGCAGUGGUUAACGAAUCCGACUAGGAACCAGGAGGUUGCAGGUUCGAUCCCUGGCCUUGCCCAGUGGGUUAAGGAUCUGGCAUUGCCAUGAGCUGUGUUUUAGGUUGCAGACGUGGCUCAGAUUCCGCGUUGCUGUGGCCCUGGCGUAGGCCGGUGGCUACAGCUCCAAUCCAACUCCUGGCCUGGGAACCUCCAUAUGCCGCAGAAGCAGCCCUAGAAAAGGCAAAAAGACAACAACAACAACAACAACAACAACAACAACAACAACAAAAAGAAAAGAAACAGGCCCAUAGGCAUAGAAAACAAACUUAUGGUUACCAAAGAGGAAGGUUGGGAGGGAUAAAUUGGGAGUAUGGGAAUAACAGAUGUACACCACCAUACAUAAAACAGAUAAAGACAAGGAUUUACUGUAAGGCACAGGGAAGUAUAUUCGAUAUCUUUUACUAAAAUAUAGUGGAAAAGAAUUUAAAAAAGAAUAUAUAUAUAUAAACUGAAUCAAUUCGCUGUACACCUGAAACUAACACAAUAUUGUACAUCAAUUAUACUUCAAGAAAAAAGAAAAAAGUAAAUAGGAAAAAGUAGAAAUAUCAUCACUUGAAAGAAAAAAAGGAUCACCUCUACAGAAGUACGAAAAAGAUAAAAAGAACAACAUGGUGAAUGGAAAGCCCCAAAUAAGAUUAAAGAAUAAAUUCAUUACAGCAUAUAAUCAUAAUAAUGUAAUAGAGUGCUUAAAAACUGAAGUUCAGAUUUCAUUUGAAUAGAUCCAACUAUAUGUAGUGAUUUUUUUAAAAAUUGCAUUUCUGCUUGUUUCUGGUAAUUACGAUGAGAUUGCAUCUGAAUAUGUUUUCUUGUCUUGUUCCUGACUUUAAGUAGGAUGCUCUUAGCAUUUUGCCAUAAAGAAUAAUAUUUGUUUAGGAUUAUGGUAGAUACUUUUCUCCAGGUUAAGGAAUUUUUCUUCUAUUCCUAGUUCACCAAGAGAAAUUAUAUUCAGAAUGUUGAGAGAAAAUACCUGCCAAUUUAGAAUUCCACACACAGUUAAACUGUCAUUCAAGAAGGAGGGUAAAAUAAAAGGGUAUACCAUUUACAACACUAUUAAAAAACUAUCAGGUACAAGGGAGUACGUCUUUAGAAAGAUGUGAAAAUCUUUUAUGGAGAACACUAAAGCUUUAUCGAAAUACAAUGAAUAAAUGGAGCGAUAUAGUAUAUUCAUGUAUGGGAAGACAAGAUCCUGUCAGUAGUAGUUCUCCUAAAUUUACACUACAACUUAAUAAACUCUAUUAUAAGUCCUGGGAAAUGUUUGUUUAGGGACCUAUAUAAGCAGAUCAUAAAACCCACUCAGAAGAGUAAAGGGCCAAGAACAGCCAAAACAAUGUUGAAACAGACAAAGGACUCACCCUAGCAGAUAAACAAGAUUUAUCAUUAAGUUAUAGUAAUUAAAGUACUCUGAUAUCAGCAUUUGGAUAAAAAGACCAAUGGAAGAGCUUUUCUGAAAAACCUAGAAACACUAACAUAUACAUAGAAAUGUGAAAUAUGACAGAGGUGACGUUACAAAUCAGUGAGGAAAGGAUGAUUAUUUCAUAAAUGACACUGGGACUAUUUGGUAAUAGUAUUUUCAAGGAGAAAAAUUAGAUUCAUACUUCACAGUAUGCACAAAAGUAGUAAAUUUCCGAUAUGUUACAGAGAGAGCUGUAAACAUUUAGACAGACUAUAGGAAAAUACAUACAACAUCCGAGAAGGUCACAGAGCAAAAAUCAUUACGGAAAAGUGAGAAAUUGAACUACAAAAUUUUUAAAAAUGAGCCCAUGACAAAUGACAUCAAUAACAAAGUAAAAAGACAAGCACAGACUCUGGGAAAAUAUUAACAAUCUACCUUUCCGAUCAGAGAUAACUAUCCAAACUAUAAAAUAAGUUCUUUGAAAGAAGCAAGAAAAAAAAAGGGAAACCACCAAACAGCAAAAAGACAAAGAAUAUGAAGGAACAAUUAGCAGCACAGGACAUUUUAUGGUCAAUAGACUCAUGAAAAUACUUUGACAUCACUAGCAGUCAAGAAGAUGCAAAUUGAAAACAGAAGAUAUUAUUGCAUUCCUAUUAGUGAAAAAAUUUAAAACUCUGACAAUAGCAACAAUACCAGUUGUGAGAAUGGAGAAAUGAAAACUUUCAUCCACUGCUAGUGGAAAUAUAAUAUGAUCUAACCACUGCAGAAAGCAAUCAGCCAAUGCCUGGUAAAGUUAAUGCAUAACCUAUGACCAACGAUUCCAUCUUUAUGUGCCUAGAAGUUCUUGAGCGAUACAUGGACCCAAGCAAAUACAAACAAAAGAGUGUUCUUUUCAGCAUUCCAUGUAAUAGUUAAAAAGUGGAAACAAGCUACCUGAUCUUCAGGAGUCAAAUUGGCAAAUAAAACGGGAAUUAUUUAUACAAUGCAACACUGCACAGCAGAUAACAUGAGUGAAUUAGAUCUGUAUCAUCCACAUGGAUAAGUCUAAAAUACGUAAAGCUAAGCUAAAAAGAUGCAAGGUAAAUAUUUAUAGGUGAUAUCUAUACAAAAUGUUGACUAAAUGAAACAAUUGUACGUAUUUUUCACCAAUACACUAAAGAUACCAAAUUCUUCCUGGUUAUGAUUCACAUCUAUAAAGCAGAGAGGGAUGUGCCUCCUAAUCCAGGGGUCCUAAUACUACAAAGUCUAGACAGAUCCUUGCCUUUACACAUCAUGAAAUGUAGCAAGAAUGACUAAGCCAUUGCUGAGAAUUUAGCACUAUGUAUGCGCUUAUGUACAAAGAACACUAAAGGACAUCACUUGGUUUUGGUAUCAAUAGCCAGUUUCUCUUUCCUAAGGAACUGAUGAUAAUAACCCUCAACAGGUGGGGCUAAGAGAGUGGUUCUGGUCCAGAUUCUUGUCUUCCUCUGCAGGUCCUGGGCUGUUCUCCCUCACCUAGCCUGGUGUGCGCUGGGAAGUCUCUUUCCUGCUUCAGAUGGAUUCACUCAUUCCUGUGUUUCCUUAGGCACUCACCAGAAGUAUAGACCUGACACCUCGGGUCACUUUCACCUGCUGACUUCUGUGGACAUUCUAUAGCCUACCUCUGUCUCUCUGAUCCAUCCCCAGGGCCUGAACUUGAGCCUACUCAGGGGUUGCUGCUCCUCCUGGUGGGCUUAGCUUUUCUUCAGGAGCUGCAAUGCUGUGCAUCAGGCCUUUAAAUCCCCUUUGGCUUGGAGUUACAGAACUAUAUUCCCUCCCGAGUUAUUCCAUUAAAUACACAUGCGCUUUCAUAUAUACACAAACAUGUUUCUAUACACACGCAUAAACUCAUAUACGCAAAGAAACACACACCUAUACCACUCCCUUCUCUGCAUCAGAGGUCAGGUUAUGUUCCAUCAGUCAAAAUCCAACAUUGUAGGAGUUCUCAUCGUGGUGCAGUGGAAACGAAUCUGACUAGAAACCAGNUGAGGUUGCGUGUUUGAUCCCUGGCCUCUCUCAGUGGGUUAAGGAUCCGGUGUUGCUGCAGCUGUGGCGUAGGCUGGCAGGUAUAGCUCCAAUUAGAUCCCUAGCCUGGGAACCUCAUAUGCUGUGGGUACGGCCCUGAAAAGGAAAAAAAAAAAAAAAAAAAAAAAAAAAAAAAAAAAA